CAAAAGCAUACUGGUAUAAGAUAAAUGUCCAAAGAAAACUAUUUUCUUAAAAAUCAUUAUGUGAGAGCCAUUGCUUGUACUCUGCUGUUGAUAGA